UUCAAAUAGCUCAGCUGGUAGAGUAUGAGACUCUUAAUCUCUGGGUCAUGAGUUCGAGCCCCACACUGGGCAAAA
rnacentral:tRNA from 1 species